CAGCCGCCACGGGAAUACGAAGGGGGCUAGCGUUGUCCGGAAUUAUUGGGCGUAAAGGGCUCGCAGGCGGUUUCUUAAGUCUGAUGUGAAAGCCCCCGGCUCAACCGGGGAGGGUCAUUGGAAACUGGGAAACUUGAGUGCAGAAGAGGAGAGUGGAAUUCCACGUGCAGCGGUGAAAUGCGUAGAGAUGUGGAGGAACACCAGUGGCGAAGGCGACUCUCUGGUCUGUAACUGACGCUGAGGAGCGAAAGCGUGGGGAGCGAACAGGAUUAGAUACCCCUGUAGUCCCUGUCUCUUAUAC
rnacentral:rRNA from 1 species